rnacentral:lncRNA from 1 species
GAAGUGUGGGGAAGGAGAUUGCGGGUGGCAGUCUGGGCCCUCAGAGUGGAUGUCAGAGGAAUACCCACCCGGUGGCCCAGGCGGCAUCAAAGGCCUUCAGAGUCCAUGUGUCUGUGUAGAUCAAACCUCCUGCUGCCACUUCACAACUGGUAGCCCAGGCUGUUGCCUACUGACUGCUUCCGGUUUCUAAUCUCAGCUGUAACCCAAGUUGUGUUGAUGCCUCGGGAAACAGAAGUAACGAAGUAGGAAUGAACAGUUUCCUGUUUGUACCCUAAACUUGAACCGGUGGCCUGAGCAGCAAGUGUGCAGGGGCCCGGAUACUCAACAGAGGUGUGUGUGUGACUCUCUUUUUAAUUGUGAAACUAAACUGGGACUUUCUCACCAGC